UGGAGAUGGCCUGCACCUGCUGUAGAGGGGUGGAGAGGGAGUGGGCAAUAAAAGUCAGGGUAGCAAUGCAAUGUCUCAGCUCUUGGUUCCUCACUGCCUUGGAUCCUCCCAGCCUGGGUAAGAAGAGAGGUGACACAGGGCAUGUGCGCAUGUGAUGUUGCCAGAUGUCAACAGGUACCUGAAGGUGAUCUUAAUAAGAUGUUUGCAGCAGCUGAUGGUUGCAUGUUUGAGUCCAGGAACACUGAGAUCCCAGAGUCCUCUUCCUUUGGCCUCCUUAAUCUGAUGGAGUCAACACACUGUUCUUUCACUGAGCCCUAUUUUUUUCCCAAAGAAGAAGGCUCUGGCAUAUCAUCCUACAGAUGUGGCAUAGAAGCCUUGGUUGCAAAAUAUAUCCGGCAUGGCAGUUGGUAGUGUUGUGCAAUCUCCAUCAACUUACGGAAACCACUGUGAGAUACUCUUAAAGAGAGACUCCGUUCCCAUCCAUCACUCCAGCCGCAGUCACGCGUCCUGCUGUCAGGCAGACGGGCACGGGCAGGCAGCACCCGGCCUGUAGGCAUCAGGAGAACUUUCCUUUGCAGUGGAUGCUCUUGUGUGUGGGCAAAUGGUGUGUGAGCUCUUUCUGGAGCUCUUUGCUGGUUAGACCAGAUCUGUUGCGUGGCCGCUCAUGCCCUACCAUUAAAGGUUCCUCUUCAGCAUCUGCUGGUGAUGCUGGUUUCUCACCAGGACUCAAAAUCUGGGUCACUGUGGGUGGCC